GUGCCCUGUCGCCGGGCGCCUGAUGAGACCAAGGCAGGUCGAAACACCUAUUUGCUGGCGAGGUCCGGGAACCUUGUUAUGUCAAAAGAGAGGGUAAAUCGGGGAAACUCGCCUCCUAGAAAUGAGGGCUCUGCUCUUACAGUAUAAUGGCGAGGUACCGUGCAGUUAGCAAGGGAUUGCUAGCUUCCUUCAUUUGGGAAACCAAUGAAGGAAGACCUAGUUUACCCGCUUGCUUCGUGCGGGAACCCGUUCACUUAACCGAAAGCGCAAGCUUCUCAGGUUUUGGAAGUGAGAGUCCUGAUAACACCUCUGAAUUGAAAAACAAGACUCGGCUCCUCAAAAGCAAUGUGGAUUUCGACCUGCUAAAAGUCUCAUCAGGGCAGCCAGCGACAGGCGCCUAUCCACAACCACUCGUUCUUCUUCAGAAGUUGCGGAGGUCGGUUUGGGAUCUAACCUAGCGGUUAAAUCAAAUUUUUAAUUUUGUAAAACCUGCUUAGUUCAGACCUGACACCAGCCCCGUCGCUAAUGUUGAAGGAAGAAGUUGUGGGUGUA
rnacentral:hammerhead_ribozyme from 1 species